CGAUCCUUAGCUGGUCUGAGAGGACGAUGAGCCACACUGGAACUGAGAUACGGUCCAGACUCCUACGGGAGGCAGCAGUGGGGAAUAUUGCACAAUGGGGGAAACCCUGAUGCAGCUAUACCGUGUGCGUGAAGAAGGCCUUCGGGUUGUAAAGCACUUUCAAUGGGGAAGAAUUUAAAAUUGCUAAUAUCAAUUUUAAUUGACGUUACCCAUACAAGAAGCACCGGCUAACUCCGUGCCAGCAGCCGCGGUAAUACGGAGGGUGCAAGCGUUAAUCGGAAUUACUGGGCGUAAAGAGUUCGUAGGCGGUUUGUUAAGUCAGAUGUGAAAUCCCUGAGCUUAACUUAGGAACUGCAUUUGAAACUGAUAAGCUAGAGUUUCGUAGAGGGAGGUAGAAUUCCAGGUGUAGCGGUGAAAUGCGUAGAGAUCUGGAGGAAUACCAGUGGCGAAGGCGGCCUCCUGGACGAAAACUGACGCUCAGGUACGAAAGCAUGGGGAGCAAACAGGAUUAGAUACCCUGGUAGUCCAUGCCGUAAACGAUGUCGAUUUGAAGGUUGUAACCAUUGAGUUGUGGCUUUCGGAGCUAACGCGUUAAAUCGACCGCCUGGGGAGUACGACCGCAAGGUUAAAACUCAAAUGAAUUGACGGGGGCCCGCACAAGCGGUGGAGCAUGUGGUUUAAUUCGAUGCAACACGAAGAACCUUACCUACUCUUGACAUCCAAAGAACUGUGUAGAGAUAUGCAGGUGCCUUCGGGAGCUUUGAGACAGGUGCUGCAUGGCUGUCGUCAGCUCGUGUUGUGAAAUGUUGGGUUAAGUCCCGCAACGAGCGCAACCCUUAUCCUUUGUUGCCAACGAGUUAAGUCGGGAACUCAAAGGAGACUGCCGGUGAUAAACCGGAGGAAGGUGAGGAUGACGUCAAGUCAUCAUGGCCCUUAUGAGUAGGGCUACAAACGUGAUACAAUGGCGUAUACAAAGAGAAGCGACCUUGCGAAAGUUAGCAAAUCUCAUAAAGUACGUCUUAGUCCGGAUUGGAGUCUGCAACUCGACUCCAUGAAGUCGGAAUCGCUAGUAAUCGUGAAUCAGAAUGUCACGGUGAAUACGUUCCCGGGCCUUGUACACACCGCCCGUCACACCAUGGGAGUGGGUUGCAAAAGAAGUGAGUAGUUUAACCUUGAAAAAGGAGGGCGCUUACCACUUUGUGAUUCAUGACUGGG
rnacentral:rRNA from 1 species